UGGAGCCGACCUUGAAAUACCACCCUUUAAUGUUUGAUGUUCUAACGUGGACCCGUGAUCCGGGUUGCGGACAGUGUCUGGUGGGUAGUUUGACUGGGGCGGUCUCCUCCUAAAGAGUAACGGAGGAGCACGAAGGUUGGCUAAUCCUGGUCGGACAUCAGGAGGUUAGUGCAAUGGCAUAAGCCAGCUUGACUGCGAGCGUGACGGCGCGAGCAGGUGCGAAAGCAGGUCAUAGUGAUCCGGUGGUUCUGAAUGGAAGGGCCAUCGCUCAACGGAUAAAAGGUACUCCGGGGAUAACAGGCUGAUACCGCCCAAGAGUUCAUAUCGACGGCGGUGUUUGGCACCUCGAUGUCGGCUCAUCACAUCCUGGGACUGAAGUAGGUCCCAAGGGUAUGGCUGUUCGCCAUUUAAAGUGGUACGCGAGCUGGGUUUAGAACGUCGUGAGACAGUUCGGUCCCUAUCUGCCGUGGGCGCUGGAGAACUGAGGGGGGCUGCUCCUAGUACGAGAGGACCGGAGUGGACGCAUCACUGGUGUUCGGGUUGUCAUGCCAAUGGCACUGCCCGGUAGCUAAAUGCGGAAGAGAUAAGUGCUGAAAGCAUCUAAGCACGAAACUUGCCCCGAGAUGAGUUCUCCCUGAGACUUAAAGUCUCCUGAAGGAACGUUGAAGACGACGACGUUGAUAGGCCGGGUGUGUAAGCGCAGCGAUGCGUUGAGCUAACCGGUACUAAUGAACCGUGAGGCUUAACCUU
rnacentral:rRNA from 1 species